UUUCUUUAGAGAAGAAUUCUUUGGAUAGUUUUAAUGUAUUGUUUACUUGUAAAGCAUUAACAAAGUCUGGAAAGCUCCAUCUCUUAUAUGGAAUCUUUUUAUUCUGCAAGGCAUGCUGAAGCAAGAUGGAAUUUACAUCAACUAUCUGAUUUGCAAGGAAGCUCCUUUGGUUUUUCUCUCCAUAUCUGAAACCAUGAAAUAUAUGAUCUUGUUCCAUUUCAUGCAAUAUUUUCUUGGCUGCUAUGAGGCGUUUCUGAGACUUUUUUCUCUCUUUCCAUUCAAGCUGUCGCCUCUCUUUCUUGGACCUCUCCAUAUCUGAAACCAUGAAAUAUAUGAUCUUGUUCCAUUUCAUGCAAUAUUUUCUUGGCUGCUAUGAGGCGUUUCUGAGACUUUUUUCUCUCUUUCCAUUCAAGCUGUCGCCUCUCUUUCUUGGAC
rnacentral:misc_RNA from 1 species